GGAAAUGUGCCUGAGCCCCAAGGAUCACUGUGAUAAAGUGAACACGGAGGUGAACAUCCCUCCCAUUUCCU
rnacentral:tRNA from 1 species